UUAAAUAUUUUCAUUUGUUCUCUGACGACAAGUUACUAGGGUUUGGUUCCUUUGGCGGGUCUGGCCUCACGACCAAGACCCGCCAAGGCAACAAAGGUACAAUAAACAUAGGGUGGGAGAUGCGUCCCCGAGGGGACGAGUUCUCGCUAAUGAUCCUUCCGCAGGUUCACCUACGGAAA
rnacentral:misc_RNA from 1 species